rnacentral:rRNA from 1 species
GACGAACGCUGGCGGCGCGCUUAACACAUGCAAGUCGAGCGAAGCGGCGGACGGGUGAGUAACACGUGAGUAACCUGCCUCAGACAUUGGGAUAGCCUCGGGAAAACGGGAUUCAUACCACAUGGUCUAAGAUGGACUCGCGUCCCAUUAGCUAGUUGGUGGGUAACGGCCCACCAAGGCGACGAUGGGUAGCCGGCCUGAUAGGGUGAACGGCCACAUUGGAACUGAGAAACGGUCCAAACUCUGCGGGAAGCAGCAGUGGGGAAUAUUGCACCAUGGAUGGAACUCUGAUGCAGCGACGCCGCGUGAACGAAGGAGGCUUUCGAGUCGUAAAGUUGUUUUAUAUGGGAAGCGUUACCAUAAGAAAAAGCCCCGGCGAACUACGUGCCAGCAGCCGCGGUAAUAC